UCAUAAACCGACUGCAAUAAUUACAGACGUGAUGUUCAUCCCAGAGUGUCCUCAGCAAAGCCCUGGUUGUUUUUCAGAAGUUCCUCCCAACUUUAAACCGGAAGAUCUCCCCCCAGAGAUGCUGCAGCGCAGAUGGAGUGAAAGCCGAUUUCUCAGUCUGACCUUGAAGAGCGUGAGAAAGUACGAGGUUAUUAAUGUAAGUGAAUGUAACAGCUGGACGUCGGUGAGUGUCGAGCAGAGGAGAUCUUCUCAUCUUCCUCAGCCUCGGCGCGUGUGACAUCACUUUCCGAAACACUGAGAGGAUUCUCCAUAAAAGGAAAGGUGCUGAGAGUGUGUGUGUAACUGUGUGUGUGUGUGUGUGUGUGUGUGUGUGUGUGUGUGUUUGCCUUACAUGGCCGAGCCGCUCUGCUCAGCCUUGUUGGGAGUUCAUAGACAGUGAGGAUCUCACUGAUCUACCAACUAAAGCUCCAAAUAAACCCCAUUCAUUCACCCGGUAUCCGUCUCACACGCCCUGGAUCUGUUCCCGAAUGUUUCCGGGCCAGGACACACCUGUACAGCUUUGCCUGCAUCGUGUAACUGAUAGUGGACAGACAGCAGUGAGAUAAAGGCUGCGGGUGGGCGUGGCCAGCAGGUGCGCAGCGACACACCUGAAAAGGGUCACCGGGGGAGCUGGAGCCCAUCCCAGCUGUCAUUGGG